AUACGUAGGGUGCGAGCGUUAAUCGGAAUUACUGGGCGUAAAGCGUGCGCAGGCGGUUGUGCAAGACAGAUAUGAAAUCCCCGGGCUUAACCUGGGAACUGCAUUUGUGACUGCACGGCUAGAGUGUGGCAGAGGGGGAUGGAAUUCCGCGUGUAGCAGUGAAAUGCGUAGAUAUGCGGAGGAACACCGAUGGCGAAGGCAAUCCCCUGGGCCUGCACUGACGCUCAUGCACGAAAGCGUGGGGAGCAAACAGGAUUAGAUACCCUGGUAGUCCACGCCCUAAACGAUGUCAACUGGUUGUUGGGGAUUCAUUUCCUCAGUAACGAAGCUAACGCGUGAAGUUGACCGCCUGGGGAGUACGGCCGCAAGGUUGAA
rnacentral:rRNA from 1 species